rfam:Coccomyxa subellipsoidea C-169, whole genome shotgun sequence.
GUCGAUUUGGCCGAGUGGUCUAAGGCGCCAGCUUAAGGCGCUGGUCCGAAAGGGCGUGGGUUCGAACCCCACAGUCGACA